rnacentral:rRNA from 1 species
GACGAACGCUGGCGGCGUGCUUAACACAUGCAAGUCGAACGGAAAGGCCCUGCUCUUGUGGGGUGCUCGAGUGGCGAACGGGUGAGUAACACGUGAGUAACCUGCCCUUGACUUUGGGAUAACUUCAGGAAACUGGGGCUAAUACCGGAUAGGAUCUCCUGCUGCAUGGUGGGGGUUGGAAAGUUUCGGCGGUUGGGGCUGGACUGGCGGCUUAUGAGCUUGUUGGUGGGGUAGUGGCUUACCAAGGCUUUGACGGGUAGCCGGCCUGGGAGGGUGACCGGCCACCUGAGUACUACGGUACGGACCAGAAUGGUACGGGACGCAGCAGUGGGAAGUAUUGCGCAGUAGGGGGACGCGUGAUGCGGAAGCGUCGGGAGCGGGAUGCCGGCCUUCGGGUGGAGAACAAAUUUGGCAUGUAACGAGGAGUGCUUGACGGUAAUGAGUCAAGAAGCCACGGCUAACUACGUG